AUUGAACGCUGGCGGCAGGCCUAACCCAUGCAAGUCGAACGAGACCUUCGGGUCUAGUGGCGCACGGGUGCGUAACGCGUGGGAAUCUACCCUUGGGUUCGGAAUAACAGUUAGAAAUGACUGCUAAUACCGGAUGAUGACGUAAGUCCAAAGAUUUAUCGCCCAAGGAUGAGCCCGCGUAAGAUUAGCUUGUUGGUGGGGUAAUGGCCUACCAAGGCGACGAUCUUUAGCUGGUCUGAGAGGAUGAUCAGCCACACUGGGACUGAGACACGGCCCAGACUCCUACGGGAGGCAGCAGUGGGGAAUAUUGGACAAUGGGCGAAAGCCUGAUCCAGCAAUGCCGCGUGAGUGAUGAAGGCCUUAGGGUUGUAAAGCUCUUUUACCAGGGAUGAUAAUGACAGUACCUGGAGAAUAAGCUCCGGCUAACUCCGUGCCAGCCGCCGCCGUAA
rnacentral:rRNA from 1 species